rnacentral:rRNA from 1 species
GAUGAACGCUGGCGGCGUGCCUAACACAUGCAAGUCGAACGGAGUCCAGCCUUUAAGACCUUCGGGUCAAAGAGGGGAAGACUGAGUGGCGGACGGGUGAGUAACACGUGGGCAACCUGGCUCAUAGAGGGGGAUAACAGAGAGAAAUUUCUGCUAAUACCGCAUAAGCACACACUGCCGCAUGGCAGAGGGUGAAAAGAGAAUCGCUAUGAGAUGGACCCGCGUCUGAUUAGCCAGUUGGCAGGGUAAGAGCCCACCAAAGCGACGAUCAGUAGCCGAUCUGAGAGGAUGAACAGCCACAUUGGGACUGAGACACGGCCCAAACUCCUACGGGAGGCAGCAGUGGGGGAUAUUGCACAAUGGGGGGAACCCUGAUGCAGCGACGCCGCGUGAGUGAAGAAGUAUUUCGGUAUGUAAAGCGCUAUCAGCAGGGAAGAUAAUGACAGUACCUGAAUAAGAAGCCCCGGCUAACUACGUG